rnacentral:rRNA from 1 species
UACGUAGGGUGCAAGCGUUGUCCGGAAUUAUUGGGCGUAAAGAGCUCGUAGGCGGUUUGUCGCGUCUGCUGUGAAAACUCGGGGCUUAACUCCGGGCCUGCAGUGGGUACGGGCAGACUAGAGUGCGGUAGGGGAGACUGGAAUUCCUGGUGUAGCGGUGAAAUGCGCAGAUAUCAGGAGGAACACCGGUGGCGAAGGCGGAUCUCUGGGCCUUACCUGACGCUCAGGUGCGAAAGCUAGGGGAGCGAACAGG